rnacentral:rRNA from 1 species
CCUACGGGGGGCAGCAGUGGGGAAUAUUGCACAAUGGGGGAAACCCUGAUGCAGCGACGCCGCGUGAGUGAGGAAGUAUUUCGGUAUGUAAAGCUCUAUCAGCAGGGAAGAAAAUGACGGUACCUGACUAAGAAGCCCCGGCUAACUACGUGCCAGCAGCCGCGGUAAUACGUAGGGGGCAAGCGUUAUCCGGAUUUACUGGGUGUAAAGGGAGCGUAGACGGAAUUGCAAGUCUGAUGUGAAAAUCCGGGGCCCAACCCCGGAACUGCAUUGGAAACUGUAUUUCUAGAGUGUCGGAGAGGCAAGUGGAAUUCCUGGUGUAGCGGUGAAAUGCGUAGAUAUUCGGAGGAACACCGGUGGCGAAGGCGGCCAACUGGGCUUUAACUGACGCUGAGGCUCGAAAGUGUGGGGAGCAAACAGGAUUAGAUACCCCAGUAGUC